AGUGGCGAACGGGUGAGUAACACGUGGGUGAUCUGCCCUGCACUUCGGGAUAAGCCUGGGAAACUGGGUCUAAUACCGGAUAGGAGCCAUUUUUAGUGUGAUGGUUGGAAAGUUUUUUCGGUGUAGGAUGAGCUCGCGGCCUAUCAGCUUGUUGGUGGGGUAAUGGCUUACCAAGGCGGCGACGGGUAGCCGGCCUGAGAGGGUGGACGGCCACAUUGGGACUGAGAUACGGCCCAGACUCCUACGGGAGGCAGCAGUGGGGAAUAUUGCACAAUGGGCGCAAGCCUGAUGCAGCGACGCCGCGUGGGGGAUGACGGCCUUCGGGUUGUAAACUCCUUUCGCUAGGGACGAAGCUUUUUGUGACGGUACCUAGAUAAGAAGCACCGGCUAACUACGUGCCAGCAGCCGCGGUAAUACGUAGGGUGCGAGCGUUGUCCGGAAUUACUGGGCGUAAAGGGCUCGUAGGUGGUUUGUCGCGUCGUCUGUGAAAUUCCGGGGCUUAACUCCGGGCGUGCAGGCGAUACGGGCAUAACUUGAGUACUGUAGGGGUAACUGGAAUUCCUGGUGUAGCGGUGAAAUGCGCAGAUAUCAGGAGGAACACCGAUGGCGAAGGCAGGUUACUGGGCAGUUACUGACGCUGAGGAGCGAAAGCAUGGGUAGCGAACAGGAUUAGAUACCCUGGUAGUCCAUGCCGUAAACGGUGGGCGCUAGGUGUGAGGGUCUUUUCACGACUUU
rnacentral:rRNA from 1 species